CUUCGAAAACAUUUAAACUUGUCAGCUACGCUGCGCACAAUCCCCAAUUAACCCCGCGCUUUUUUUUAAGAGCCUCCCUCGUUAGCCGCAACCUCCAAAAUUUGUUCAUACAUUUCUUAAUUCUUAGGGUUCCGACCAUCAAUCAAUUCAAUUAUAAUCCGAUGGGGAAGGCGAAAAGGAAUUGCGCCAUUGUAAUCUCAUCCUCCGACGACGAAAAAGAUAAAGAUAAUAACCUGUUACUGAAGAGCGGUUUUAGUUCUUCAAAAUCAGCCCCCACUAGGAAAAACCCUAAAAGGGCGAAGAGGGUUUCGCUACCGAGUUCCAAUUCGCGGCAGCCGUUUCAGUACUCCAGUUCUAGUGGCUUUGAUGAGGUGAAACGGAUUUGUGAGGAAUUUGAUCAAGGACUCACUCAGUUCAAGGUAACACCUGGUUCUAGAAGUAACAAGGACCUAUGGGUUGAGAAGUAUACACCUAGUUGCUUGGAGGAGCUAGCUGUCCAUAAGAAGAAGGUUGAAGAAGUAAAAAUCUGGUUUGAGGAGAGACUAAAAAACCCCGUGGAUAAUUCAUACAGUAAUGUCAUCCUCAUCUCUGGGCAAGCUGGAGUUGGAAAAUCUGCAACCAUACAUGCGAUUGCACGUCAUCUUGGAGUGGAAGUGCACGAAUGGAACACACCUACCCCCACCAUAUGGCAAGAGCAUCUGCACAAUUCUAAUUCAGGGAUAAGCUAUAUGUCAAAGUUGGACGAGUUCGAAAGUUUCGUUGAAAAGAUAAGGAAAUAUGGAUUGAUUUCCUCAUCCUUGACCAAAGUCUCUCCAUUGUCAAUUAUACUCUUGAUCGACGAUAUUCCUUUGGUAAAAGGGAAGGUAUCGUACGGGAGGCUGCAGAGGUGCUUCCAUCUUCUUUUGCAAUCUGUUCGUCUCCCGACAGCCAUUUUAAUCAAUGAAUACGGCAGAUCCGAAUCUGCCGAGCACCAUAGCCGGUACUGGGAAGAACUCCAGUCAUCUCUACAAAAAGCCGGGGCUUGCAAGGUUUCGUUUAAUCCAAUCACGGCCAAUUCCAUCAAAAAAGUACUUUCGAAAAUACGCAGAGUGGAGAGAAUCGAAGUGAGUGAUGAACAGAUUAAUCUUCUAGCAAACACCAGUGGAGGAGAUAUAAGACACGCAAUUACAUCCUUACAGUAUUUCUCUCUGAAACCACGCUCGAUGGAUUCUCUAUCUGUUCGUUCGGCUUAUCGAGAAGAGAAAGGGGCCGAGAGCAGUCAUUUGGAUGAUGGAGUUAGUCUCGCAUUUGGGAAGGAUGCAACUCUAUCAUUAUUUCACGCAUUAGGCAAAUUUCUGCACAACAAACGAGAGACUGGAAGUUUAGCUACGUCAGACGAAGGUGCAAUUCUUCUUAAGGAGAAAUUUAUCAGGUGUCCGCUAAAAAUGGAUGCUCCGGAGUUGGUACUUUCUCAGGCACAUGGGCAGGCAACGCUUAUUGUUGACUUUCUCCAUGAAAACGUUCUUGAUUUUGUGAGGGAGGAGUCAAUUGACGACGCAUGGGUCAUUGGUACAUAUUUAAGUGACAGUGACUUACUUCUUGCCUCAUCGGCAAGUUUGAGUCGAAACUAUGAAGCUGAGAAUGUUUUACAAUCUACUGCUGCUUCUAUUGCUGUGCGUGGAGUCUUAUUUGGGAAUAAUUAUCCACUGUCUUCUAGGUGGCAUGCUAUUCGCCGUCCAGUGCUCUGGCAGGUCGAGCAAUCACUGUGGCGCAAUAAGGUUGAUUUUUGCCAGGGGCAUAGCUUUUAUUGCAGUUUCACGUUUUUCAAUAUAUUCUUGUGUCAAAUGCAAAGUGAAAGGAGAGAUGCUCGUAUGAAUACGAGUCUGAACAAUCAUACAGUUAUAGCCACCGAGUUUAAACCGGCACUCAAUUGGCUUGGGCAUAGAUUACCCGAUUAUACUGCAAAUGAUGCUAUGAAGACGAUGAAGAUGACGAUGAAAUUGAAGAAUGGUAACAUUUUAUUGGCUUAGUAGUAGUAGUAGUGUCUCUGCGAUUUGUGUAUAUUUAUGUAAAUAGCUGUUUAUAGAAUGCCGUUUUAAUUGCGAAGUCGUUGAACUGUUAUUGACGAGUACACGGGAAUACGGCAAGUAGGGGUGGCAAUUUGGAUCCGGUUCCGUGGAUCCAAUUAGAUCCGGUUCGGUUCAUAAGGAUCCGGUUUAGAUUAAGUUUAGUUGAAACAAAUCGGAUCCGAUCCAUUUGAUAUUUUUUUAAAACUGGAUCCCUGUGGAUUCACUUUAAACCCAUUAAAAGUUUAACCACAAAAUAAAUUGGGUCAUAUUGGAUCCAAUCAAAACCCAAUUAAAACCCAAUCAAAUACCAACACAAUUUUCUCACAAAAAAAAGUCAAAAUAUUAUUUUAAUUAAAAGUUUAAUCGAUAAAAAAUUCUCCCUCAGAUUUCACCCCAAAAAUUUCUUAACCCAUCGCCAUUCCCCACCUCCAUCGCCGUUCCUCGCCGCCGUAUACCGCUCCUCGCCGACCGCCGCCGUCUACAACCUCCACUCCGCUCGCCGCCGUCAACAACCUGCACUCCGCUCACCGCCGUGAAAAGCCUCCACUCCGCUCGCCGCCGUCAACAGCCUCCUCUCCGCUCGCCGCCGCCGCACGCCGCUCGCCGCCAAGACCUUCGCCGUCGCCUUCCCGCCGGAAAAUAAGGCCUUCCGGUGGUUUGAGGCCGCGGAGACCGUCGGAAAAUGUUAAGGAACUGAGGAGAAGCAAGUCGGAGCCAACUCCGGGGAAUCAUUCCGAGGUGUCAAGAUCAUUCCAGGUGAUUCUUGGUUUGGAGUUUAUUGUAAAGUUAUGGUCUUUAGUCUUUACACACUUUGAUAUAGAUUGAAAUAGAUGGAGAAUGAUGAUGAGGACAA